GACGAACGCUGGCGGCGUGCUUAACACAUGCAAGUCGAACGGAAAGGCCUGCUUUCCCUUGUGGAUUGCGGGUACUCGAGUGGCGAACGGGUGAGUAACACGUGAGUGAUCUGCCCCCAACUUGGGUAUAAGCCUGGGAAACUGGGUCUAAUUCCCGAUAGGACUGCAGGGUGGUGCCUGUGGUGGAAAACGAUUUUCUAGUGGUUGGGGAUGAGCUCGCGGCCUAUCAGCUUGUUGGUGGGGUAAUGGCCUACCAAGGCGGCGACGGGUAGCCGGCCUGAGAGGGUGGACGGCCACAUUGGGACUGAGAUACGGCCCAGAUUCCUACGGGAGGCAGCAGUGGGGAAUAUUGCACAAUGGGCGGAAGCCUGAUGCAGCGACGCCGCGUGGGGGAUGACGGCCUUCGGGUUGUAAACUCCUUUCGACCGCGAGGAAGCCACCUGGUUGGAAGGGUGGUGACGGUAGUGGUAGAAGAAGCACCGGCUAACUACGUG
rnacentral:rRNA from 1 species